rnacentral:rRNA from 1 species
GUGUCAGCCGCCGCGGUAAUACGUAGGGGGCUAGCGUUGUCCGGAAUCAUUGGGCGUAAAGAGCGUGUAGGCGGCUCGGUAAGUCCGCUGUGAAAGUCCAGGGCUCAACCCUGGAAUGCCAGUGGAAACUGUCGAGCUAGAGUCCGGAAGAGGCGAGUGGAAUUCCUGGUGUAGCGGUGAAAUGCGUAGAUAUUGGGAGGAACACCGGUGGCGAAGGCGGCCCCCUGGACCGGUACUGACGCUGAUGCGCGAAAGCGUGGGUAGCAAACGGGACUAGAAACCCCGGUAGUCC